UACGGAGGAUGCAAGCGUUAUCCGGAAUUAUUGGGCGUAAAGCGUCCGCAGGUGGUACAUCAAGUCUGCUGUCAAAGACCGGAGCUCAACUCCGGGCAGGCAGUGGAAACUGGUGAACUAGAGUACGGUAGGGGUAGAGGGAAUUCCCAGUGUAGCGGUGAAAUGCGUAGAGAUUGGGAAGAACACCAGUGGCGAAGUCGCUCUACUGGGCCGUAACUGACACUCAGGGACGAUAGCUAGGGGAGCGAAAGGG
rnacentral:rRNA from 1 species